rnacentral:lncRNA from 1 species
AAACAGAUACCAACAAUAACAACUUGUUAGGUUUAAAUGUGUUUUAUGAAUUUAUUUCAAUCUUAAUCAUCAAUUUCUUCGUUUGUUGAAAUCUUUACGAUUUUUUUCUCAGUACCGUUUUAUUUUUAUAAAGGAACGUAACACCACUACUAACCGUGUAUGAAAUAAGCCCCGCCUCCCUACUACCUUAUAUGGAAUAUAAAGGGACGUAACACCAC